rnacentral:lncRNA from 13 species
AUGCACGGAGAUGUUGUCUCUACAAAGCAAAGUGAAAUGGACAGUUUUCCAGCUAAUUUGUUUUGUAUGGACCGCCAAGCUGGACACUUGCAGACCACAAAGUCUGUGAAUGAGAACCUGGGAGCUGGCAUGAGAAGAACUGAGCUGGAGCAUUUCGCCAUCACUGAAUAAAUAACUUACCCUCUUGAAUUCUUCCCUGUACAACUGGAGUAAGACACCACCCUGGCUUUUACACAGUUUGUGAGCUAAUAAGAUAAUGCUUAUGUACCUGUUUUAAUAUGAAUAAACUGAUAUUAAAACGGCA